rnacentral:lncRNA from 1 species
CCGAGGAGCUGCCCUUUCCUUGCCAUCCAUGCGGCCAGGUCUCAGACAAACCGAUGGCUUUGUGUCAAACCAAGGCCGCCUUCCUCACCUCUGAUAAGAUGGACGCCUUCUGUCUUCGCGUUUUCAGGCACCCGGGGAAGACCCACAGAACAGGCUAGCUUGUUCCCAAUUUCCACCUGCUUCCUCCCCAUCCCGGACCGACAAAAAUUGUCGUCUGUUUGAUGGGAGGGAGAACUCCGACUCCCCCACCUGGGGCAUGCAGACACCCUCGCCCUUCCCCAGUUGGCAUGGACCGUCGUCUUUUCUCCCUCUUCCAUCAGAUCGAUGGACAAACAGGCCAGUUUCUCCCCAGUGGCCCCCACCUAAGAGCACCCUAAGUUGUCCACAGCAGGGCUAGGAAGCAGAAGGUCAGGACACUCCCCUACCCUACCUUGACUUAGAGCUGGGUAAACCCAGAACCCAUCCCCGGGCAAAUAGAGCCAGCUCCUUUGCCCCAGGAAGGGGAUUCGUCUCCCUCUGGCAUUUAGGAGUGCUCUCUAAGUGCGUUCUUGGCAGUGAGGGUGCCGCCUUCCCAGGGCAGGUGUGAUUCAUGUGGACUCUGUGGCGCCUGGGCAGGGAUCCCCAGGUAUACCAGACAAGGGGCAGGUGUGCCCUGGGAAACCGCCUAAGAGGUCCAUGGGCUAUGGAAGGAGCUGGGGUCCACAGUCCCUCUGCCUGAGCGUGUCUUUUUCCCUCACCCACAGCGCUCUAGGGAAAGUUGCCUAAACCUCUCUGAGCCUCAUUUCUUUCAUUUGUAAAGUGGGGCACUCAUAGUGGCCCUUCAUAGAAUUGUGUGUAAAGUGCUUAGCACAGGCCUGGCACAUGGAGGGUGCUCCAGCCUCCGGGAGCCAUCACUGUCAUGAAAAAAUAAGACCUCUCAAUCCUUGCUGGGGGCCUUUGACCCACCCCUCCUCUCUCUGGGCCUCACACUUCCAUCUGUGAAAUGUCCAGUUCUCAUAUUCAAAGCUUACUAGGACUCCAAGCCAGUCCAUGCUGUCCUGAUCCCUCAAUUCGCCCACAGGCUGCCUGGGGGAGGUAAGGACUGGCUGUGACCUACCUCCACGUGGAGUCAGCUCAUAGCGGGGUUUCCAGCAACCAUCACAGGGCGGCCAGAGCUGGGUCUCGAUGAUUGCCUGUCUGACCAUUCCUCUCAGAACCUCACUUUCGCCCCCAGCCGGCCGCCCUCCUGUGGGCAGACCCUUUCCUGAGUAGCAACUGGGCCUCAGCGGACACUGCCAGGGACCCCGUUUCCUUCCCAGGAGGCCUCUGUUCCCCAUAUCCCGAAUCACACAGGAGCCUAGUCCAGCGAAGAGAGCAGAGGACUCUCUUCUAGAACUGAAAAUUUCUCCCAGCCUGGCCCUAAAUCCCCUGUCCAGAGGGACCCGUGGUGAAACCUAUCUCCUGCCCAGUGCCCUAGAACUCAAAGGGGACAUUCAUGCCCCUCACUGAGCCUCAAUUUCCUCUUCUGUCAAUGGAGGUCAUUCUAACCACUCCAUUUCACGGGAGGGGGAUUAAGGAUUCCCUCUAGGAGGGGAGGGGCAUCAUUGUGAUUGAUGAUCGAUUGUUUGAAGAAACAGAAAGAAAAUGCUGCUGAGUAAACUAGGACUCAUCUGCAUCCUGAUUUCAGAUAAUGAUCUCUGAAUAUAUAAGCGAGAAAUGUUAAUGAAAAAUGGCAAUAUAUCUGGGUUGAGGGGUUGUCUCCUGUAGGCCGGGGGUCCAGCUCCAGAGAGUCCAGCUCUGGGGUCAUCUAUCCUGGGCAGCCUCUCUGGAAGGAUUCAGAAUGUGUGGGAGCACAAAUGUGCUUCUCAAAUUACAGAGAUCUUUCUUCCUUUUUGGAAAGUUCCAGACUUGGAGGGGAGGGAGAAGGAGCAAGGGAGAGCAGGGUGGUGAGGGUGUUAGGACCCAGAUGCUGCCUGUGCGGUCUGAGACUUUUGCCUGGUGUCCACGCUCCCCUGAGCCUUGGUCCCCGAGGGUAAAAUGGGAAGAACAGUAACAGCUGGGGGUGCUGAGGCUUUACCUUGUGCCAGGCGCCGCACAUGGGCAUUGCUCAUGGUAUUCAAUCCCCACGGCGUCAUAUGUGGUAGGUGUUAUGCCCAUGUAAGCAAAGAGGAACGUUGUCCGAGGUCAGCCAGGCUAGAGAGGGCCAGACCCGGGUUAAAAGUCUGCUCUGGUUCAAAAUGUGGGGCAUGAACGCAUCACCUGGCCAAGCAUGUCAGCACUCUCCUCCUAGUGGCUGAGUAAUGGGAAGAGCUAGCAUCUAGAUACAGAGGAAAGAGCUAUUGUGAUGGGGAGAGGGAGCUGGGUUUGGUAAAUCCUGCUAAGCAGCCCUGGGCUUGGAAAUCAGUAAACUCUUCAAAUCUGCAGGGAGUCAGGAAGGACUUGCCAGGGUCAUUCGGGAGGGUCCUGUGAUAGUCAAGGUGCACCCACCACCUGCUCUCCUUUGGCCUCAGAACCAGUCUGCGAGGAGGCAGGACUGGCAGUAGUCCCCAGUUUACAGAUGGGAACACUGAGGCCCAGAAAGGGGAAAGGGCGUGAUCAGGAUCUGGAAUGAGCUCCAGCAAGGCCAGGAGCAAGCACCUCGAGGCAAAACGCAGUUGGACAGGACCUUUGCCUUGCAGGAGACUGCAGCCCAGUCCUGGGCCUCAUACACUAGCACCCUGAUGCCACAUUCAGUGCCUCUCGCCCAGGGGAAGUGCUAAUCAGACGUGUUUCCCUCUGGGCCUCAGUGUUUGCAUCUGAAUGCGGGGGUGCACUUUCAAGGCCCCUCUACAUGCCAUGCGGGUUCCAUAGGACCCCAGGGUUUGGUUGUGACCCGAGGCCCCUCCUCCCCACCCACCUCCUCUCCACCUCCCGCGGGGCGCCAGCUCCCUUGCGUCCACAUGACCUCGGAUCCUUCCACGCCCAUCCCCACCCUGUUCUGCAGGUGGGUGGUCAGAGGGUGCUCUGCUUUGAGGAUGGGAGAGAGAAAGGGAGGCAAGGACGGAGAAAAGAGACUUCUUUUGCGGGAGCGCAGAGCAGAAAAACCGUCUCCAUCGGUUACCAGGGAAGGGGUUUCUGGUUUCAGAUCCCAUCACUUGGUGGGGCCUUCCUACCACCCUCCCUGCUACUCGCUCUUGUCAUCUGUAAAUCAGGGAAAUACUUCUGGAAGACAGUUAUCUGGUCUGUGACUUUGAUCAUUGGUCUAUGACUAAUAAUUGCCCUAAUUUUUUGAACACCUGCCGCAUGCUGGGAGUUUUCCGCCAAUUGUCGCUCACCCUCAGGUGCCUCUGAAGGGCAGAGAUUUUAUUCUUUCCAUUUCACAGAUGGGGAAACCCAAGCUCCGAAAGUAAAGAGCUUUUCCUCUGUGGGCCUCAGAAUCUGAGAAGUUCAAACAGGUUCUCAGGAGCCCUUCCAGCACCCCACUCCUCGAUCAGGGAGGGGCUGUCUGCACUCUGACCGCUGCUCUCAGCGCAGAGCUCUCCAUCCAAAGCAGCAGGUGCGUGCAGAGCUACCUGCCAGCAGAGCCAUCAAACACGGACUCUUCUACUGGGAGCCAUGGAGUGGUGAGAGAGACCUGGGCAGCUUGGAGCCAAGGGGGCUUCUGGGAAACAUGUGCCCUUCCCCCAGGGUGGGGUUCAGCUCUGGCGGGCAGGGAGAGAAAGGGCUCUUCUGAGUGGCUGUUGCUUUACACACAUUUUUGCUUCACAGUAUUCUUAGGGAGUAGCGACAGUUAUCACUCCCAUUUUACAGGAAAGAAAACUGAGGCUUAGAGAGCUCAAGUAACUUGUCCAAGUUGGCACCACUGGGAAACCACAGGGGUAGGAUUCCAACGAGGCAGCCUGGCCCCAGAGCCCAUGUUGCUGCCCACUACACUCUACUCUUGUGGACUAAAACCAGAUGCUCAGAGUUACAGUCAUGGAAUAGAAUUAGAAUCCUGGCAGAAGAACUGUGGGCAGGAUUCGGAAUUUUACAAUGUCAGACUCGAAAGGGCUCUGAGAUAUCAAAUCCAAAUCCCCAUUUCUCAAAUGACAGAACUGAGGCCUAGGAAGGAAGAGUCUCACUCAAGGUCACAGCCAGUGCCAGGGACAGAGUCUGCACCCCCUGCCUCUCCAGCUACCUCCCGCUGACUCCGCACCUUCCUCUCUCGCAGGCCCUCCUCUCCCCACUGCCCACCCAGCAGCUUCUGGGCCCAGCCAGGCCCAUUAGGGAUUUUCCACCUCCCCAAAAAGGUCCUGAUGACUGUCAGUCCUUGUGAAGCCUUAAUUAAUCUCAGAGGCCGAUGGCUCGGAGGAGACUGGGGGCUUUGGCCUUACGCAGAUGAAGAUUGCGGCUCUAUUUCAUGUGGUGGUGAAAGAACGCCUCAGACAUUCCUGCCAGCAAUAAAAGCCACAUGGCUUUCCAGCAUCGCCCUUGGAAAAGAAAAAAAAGUGCAGCCCUUUGCGGAAAUAAAUCAACUAUGUGCUGUACGCAUGGCAUGAGAUACAAAUGGGCAUACGGAGGUGGGCAACAGUCGGUCUUUUAUGCCGCCUCUGAUGUCCACUGACAGUGGCAGGGCCAGCGGUCAUGGUCCCAGCUGCAAUCCUGGGGAGAGGGAGUGACCCCCAGUGUGGUGGGGGAAGCCUCAGCUUCUCCACCUGAACUGGAUUUGAGCCACCCUAGAUAUCCCAGAGGCAGGGCCGGCUUUCUGGCCUGUGACCCAUGCAGUCGCACAGGGCCCUGGUCUCAGAAGGGUCCUGAGCUUGUUUUAAUGCCCUGCCACCACUGCCUUGAACUUCUGAAUACUUGCUCAACAAAGGUCCUGCGUUUUCAUUUUGUACUGGGCCCCCCAAAUUAUAUAGCCAGUCCUGACCACAAAUCCACCCCUCAUCACCAAUUGUCACGUCUCUCCUGGCCCCUGCCAUGUACCCAAUCCCGGGGAGUAGGGUUUCUUGAGUGCCUACUAGCCAGUUUGCUUAUAUCACCUGAGAUGAACUUCAGAAUGACUUUGUGAAUUGGGCAGAUGUGGAAAAUUGAGGCUCAGAGAGGCUUCCAUAUGGCAAGGAAGCCUAGACUUGAACUCAGGUCUCCCUGACUCCAAAGUGAGUGCUCUUAGCAGCUCUACAUUCUGCAUUAUUUCAUCUUCACCAUGCCCAGGGGGAUGGGGAUACACACAGUUAGGCUGCUCUAUUCCCAGAUAACAGAAGGCAUAACUGAGGCCAGAGAAGUGAAGGUUCUCAAGUCAGUGUCAAACCGAGGGCCUGGGCAACAGUGGACCUGGGCCUGGAUCCAUAGGGCUGGGGAUGGAGUCUCAGUUUUAUAGUUGUUUGUGCCACUUGUAAAUUUAUUAGCUCUUUCCAUGCAGGUCACUGCCUUGAGUCUGGUCUGGAAUGUGGCUGGAGCCCUACCCUGUCCCCCUCCCCCACAGCUCUCCAUUCUAAACAUCUGGAAGUCCUUCCUUGUGUCUUCUUCCACUCUUUCACGCUGCAGUUUUCCUCUGCCACCCUCACUGGUUGGGAAGCAGUUGGAUCUGGCACCUUGAUAAACUCAAAAGAGUCCAAAUUCUUGAUGAAAGUUGGGGCUGAACAGAGCCCAUAGAUUGCCAUGUCCUAUAACCAGGCCUGGGCCUAAGGCUCAUAGAGCCAACUGCUAGAUCCAGGGCAGCCAUUUCCUUGUUCCUUGCUGGGUAACCUUGAGCAAGUCCCUUCCCUCUCUGGCCCUCAGACUCCCCUUCAGGGAGAUAAAUGCAUUGGACCACACCUGAGCCCCAGGAGGCCUCUCUGUCUUCAACAUUCUAGAAUUCCAUAUUAAUCUACAACAGGUCUGUUCAUUUCCGCAUCUAAUAGCUGGGGAAACCGAGGCCCAGGAAGGAUCAGAGAUUUGCCCACCGUCACAGAAGGUGCUUAUUGACAAGUGGACUUGACUCUGAGGCUCCUGUCAGCUGGCCCGGUUGCCUCUGCACAAACUUUCGGAGGAUCUGGCCUCAGCAUCAGCUCAGCUUGCCCUUGUCCCGCCGCCUUUAGCCCAGGUGGUCUGUCAGGCACCCUCAGUGUCCAGGCCUGGAAAUCACAGCUAAGAGUCCUUGGCAGGCAAUAAAGUUCCUCUUCUAUGGCUUGAAUGUCUCCCAAAAGUCAUACAUUAAAACUUCACCCCCAUUGUGAUGGUAUUAAGAGGCAGUGGGGGGCCUUUCGGGAAGUGAUUAAGUGGUGAAGGCUCUGCCCUCAUGAAUGGAUUAGGCCCUCUUUGCCCUUCUGACUUCAGGACACAAUGUUCUGUGUCCUCCGGAGGACACAGCCAGAAGACACUGCCUUGGAAACAGGGAGUCCAGGACCUCACCAGAUGCGGAACCUGCCAGAGCCUUGAUCUUGGACUUCCCAGUCUCCAGAACCAUGUGUAUGAGAAGGGCUGAAUAUCACCUGUGAGCCUGCCCCUGCUCCCAAGAACACCCUUUGGACACCUGUGGGCUCUGCAAGGUUGGUGUAACCCCUACAGAUGAGGAAACCAGAGACAGAGAAGUGAAGUAACUCAUGCAGGUGACGGCAGAGGGCAGAGUCAGGACUUGAACCUGGAGAGCCUGGCUCUAAAGCCCAAGCUGGAAUCUCGAUACUCUACACCUCGAUAAGUUUUUGGGAAAUGACUGACUAAACAGAUGAACGCGUUUGCCCCCCCGCCGCCCCAGAGCCCCCUUAAAGCCUACAUGUGGCAGUUUGGGCCCAUUUCCUUGGCUUCCCUCCCUGGAGGGGCACCCACUGCCAGUGUCCCUGCUGAAAUUUAGCAUCAUAUUCCAUGGCGAUUUUCCACCAGUGGAAAUCACAGGUGUUCUCUGGUAUCACAGCGGGGUCAGGGAUGACCUGAAAUAUUGUUCAUGCUCAUCACAACUGCAUGGCCCACCGCGGGGUCUUGUCACUCAGUGAGUUCUUGAAGAGGCACAGACAAAUGGAGUUCAACAAAUGGAAAACAACUGCCUUUAAUUAGCUCCGAGGACUACAAAGGGAACAACGUUAUAAUAGCAGCAACUCCAAGGAAGCAGCCACAGCUCUCAGCUCUCAGACCUGGGGCUGCCGCUCAUCAUCAGCUACAGCUAGGUUUGAUGGGAGUGCCCCCAUUUCAGGGGACAGCAGGCCCCCUUCACUCCCCGACUCAGUCCCCAUCUGCAGCAGCACAGCCUUCCUUGGCCUCACCAGGGAAGAAGAACAGGCCCCGCUCUCAGACAAGCCUUCCCAGAAGCCUGAGGACUCAAACACCCAAAUGUGUCUGGGUCCCUGCCCCGAGCCGGCCACCCAGGCAGCAGCCCUGAAUCACUCGGUCAGCCAGCGGCAGGGCAGGCCAAUGGGCUGGAGGGUAGGCAGGCAGGCAGACCCACCUCUGCAUCUCUGCUGACUGCCUCGGCUGAGGAAAGGCAGCACCAGCCCCCAACCCUGAAGUUCUAGAUCUCAUGCAGCCUCUCUGUUCUGGAACCAUCCAGAGGCACUGCCCUUAUACAUGGUCCACCCCCAGGCUCAGACAAUGAGAAUUCCACAAGCAGAGGGGACUCUAUUUGGGGCACAGAGAGGUUAAGUAACUCCCCUCCUAAGGUCUCUCAGCAAGGAAGCCACUGAGCCGUGGGACUUGAGCUCAGGGACUCUUGAUCCCCAGUCUCAGGUGUCACAGCCCCAUCUGGGCUCCUGCUAGGGAGGAGGAAGGCAGCAGGGGGUGUCUGAGGCCAGGGUGCAUCAGCCCUAAAUGCCAGACAGAGGCAGGAGAAGUCUCCCCAUGAGUCCCAGCCCCAUUAGAGGCUCCAGGUCGGGGAUCCCAGACCCCCUAUCCUUGCUGGGAGACACAACCCAGAACUCUGCAUCCCUGCAGCCACCAAAAAAGGCAAAAGCUGCCCAGAAACACUUUCUCCUCUUCCGUGGCCAAAUCCACGAACUUUCUCGAGGUCUGUCCCCCUGCCCCGUGCAGGUCCAGCUUCAGUGCAGCCCAGCUCUGUGCAGUUUUCCACAAAAGCCUGUGGCUUCCUUCUCCUCCCUCUGCUUCUGAUACCCCAGGAGUUACACACAAAAUGUUGGCGGUGGUCUCCAGGAAGACCCCUGCAUCCCACAGCUCUCCCCAGAAGUUGCCAGCAGUGACCUCCUGAGCCCAGGUGGGGAGUCCCAGGCAGGACAGGGGCUGGGGCUGCAGGCCCUGGGGCCCUGUUAGUGAAGCAGCAAGCCGAGGGUCCCUGAGAGUUUCCCUUGGCCCCUCUGAGGGCUGCCCUUUGAGGUCUUGAGGUCUUGGAGUAUCCAUCGCCCCCACGGCUUACUGUCCCCACCAGCGGAGGAUGAAAGUGCCACAGCGAUGUUCCACGCCAAGAGACCACAGAGACCACCAACCCCUCUUCCCACCUCAGGCUUUCAGAGGCCAGCGGAUUUAGGCGGACAGGCUGUGCGCUUGAGGGCAGCCAGGGCGGUCAGUGGAGGGACGUGGUCCGGGGCCUGGCCACAGCUCCCCACCCAGGGCCCUGGGCUAUUGU